rnacentral:rRNA from 1 species
CCUACGGGUGGCAGCAGUGAGGAAUAUUGGUCAAUGGGCGAGAGCCUGAACCAGCCAAGUAGCGUGAAGGAUGACUGCCCUACGGGUUGUAAACUUCUUUUAUAAGGGAAUAAAGUGAGGCACGUGUGCCUUUUUGUAUGUACUUUAUGCAUAAGGAUCGGCUAACUCCGUGCCAGCAGCCGCGGUAAUCCGGAGGAGCCGGGCGUUAUCCGGAUUUAUUGGGUUUAAAGGGAGCGUAGAUGGGUUGUUAAGUCAGUUGUGAAAGUUUGGGGCUUAACCGUAAAAUUGCAAGUGAGACUGGCAGCCUUGAGUACAGUUGAGGUAGGUGGAAUUCGUGGUGUAGCGGUGAAAUGCUUAGAUAUCACGAAGAACCCCGAUUGCGAAGGCAGCCUGCCAAGCCAUGACUGACGCUGAUGCACGAAAGCGUGGGGAUCAAACAGGAUUAGAUACCCUGGUAGUC